rnacentral:rRNA from 1 species
UAUAGUUUCUCUGGUCAUGUCUAGGAUUUCAUGGCGGACGGGUGAGUAACGCGUAAGAAUCUACCUUCAGGUCGGGGACAACCACUGGAAACGGUGGCUAAUACCGGAUGUGCCGAGAGGUGAAAGGCUUGCUGCCUGAAGAAGAGCUUGCGUCUGAUUAGCUAGUUGGUGGGGUAAGAGCCUACCAAGGCGACGAUCAGUAGCUGGUCUGAGAGGAUGAUCAGCCACACUGGGACUGAGACACGGCCCAGACUCCUACGCGAGGCAGCAGUGGGGAAUUUUCCGCAAUGGGCGAAAGCCUGACGGAGCAAUACCGCGUGAGGGAGGAAGGCUCUUGGGUUGUAAACCUCUUUUCUCAGGGAAGAAAAAAUGACGGUACCUGAGGAAUAAGCAUCGGCUAACUCCGUGCCAGCAGCCGCGGUAAUACGGAGGAUGCAAGCGUUAUCCGGAAUGAUUGGGCGUAAAGGGUCCGCAGGUGGCAUUGUAAGUCUGCUGUUAAAGAGUCUGGCUCAACCAGAUAAAAGCAGUGGAAACUACAAAGCUAGAGUAUGGUCGGGGCAGAGGGAAUUCCUGGUGUAGCGGUGAAAUGCGUAGAUAUCAGGAAGAACACCGGUGGCGAAGGCGCUCUGCUAGGCCAAAACUGACACUGAGGGACGAAAGCUAGGGGAGCGAAUGGGAUUAGAUACCCCAGUAGUCCUAGCCGUAAACGAUGGAUACUAGGCGUAGCUCGUAUCGACCCGAGCUGUGCCGUAGCUAACGCGUUAAGUAUCCCGCCUGGGGAGUACGCAGGCAACUUGUAAACUCAAAGGAAUUGACGGGGGCCCGCACAAGCGGUGGAGUAUGUGGUUUAAUUCGAUGCAACGCGAAGAACCUUACCAAGACUUGACAUGUCACGAAUUCCGUUGAAAGAUGGAAGUGCCUUAGGGAGCGUGAACACAGGUGGUGCAUGGCUGUCGUCAGCUCGUGUCGUGAGAUGUUGGGUUAAGUCCCGCAACGAGCGCAACCCUCGUUUUUAGUUGCCAGCAUUAAGUUGGGCACUCUAGAGAGACUGCCGGUGACAAACCGGAGGAAGGUGGGGAUGACGUCAAGUCAGCAUGCCCCUUACGUCUUGGGCUACACACGUACUACAAUGCUACGGACAAAGGGCAGCUACACAGCGAUGUGAUGCGAAUCUCAGAAACCGUAGCUCAGUUCAGAUCGAAGGCUGCAACUCGCCUUCGUGAAGGAGGAAUCGCUAGUAAUUGCAGGUCAGCAUACUGCAGUGAAUUCGUUCCCGGGCCUUGUACACACCGCCCGUCACACCAUGGAAGUUGGUCACGCCCGAAGUCGUUACCCCAACCUUUUGGAGGGGGAUGCCUAAGGUAGGACUGAUGACUGGGGUGAAGUCGUAACAAGGUAG